rnacentral:lncRNA from 1 species
CCGACGUUACAAAGAAUGGUAGGCCAAAAUAUUUUACAGAGAAGAAAAGUGGUCCUUUGUGUAGUCUGUGUGGUCUCCCAGGUCAUAACAAGGCUACAUGCAGUAAGAACGAGAAGUGAGUUGCAACCUUUUUAUUUUUGUUAUGUUGCUACUUUGAUUUUACCAACUAUAUUUGCUCACCCAUUUCUUUAUGUUUUGUUCAGGAACUGGGCGUAGAGACGCAGCUUGGUUUGUAGGAAGAAUAAAAGUGAUCACACAAACCUAUGUUGCUUUUCAUUCAUACGUGUGUGCAAGAAAACUUGAUAAGUUAUUUGUUUGGGGGUAUUUGUUUAUGUUUUGUUAAAAGAUUUAUGUAAUAAAUUUGGAGAUGCCAUUGCAUAUGUUGUACUACCUGCGCAUGAUGAUGAUUUUGUUUGUUGUUUACUACCUGGGCAUAUAUGUUGUACUACCUGGGCAUGAUGAUGAUUUUCUUUGCUGUUUGCUGUUGGUUCCGACCGCU